UUUUUUGCAAAUCCUUGCAUCUGAACAAAAAGGUUUACUCCAUGAAGGUUUGAUUUCUUGCAAAAUGGCUUUCGUAAGGAAAAAGAUGGAACGGUUUUCUGCAACUGAACAUGAAAGAUUUUUUUUUAUUUCACGUUUCUAAAUAUUUGGCAUGAAGAUUCGACAUUUUGCAAUUGAAAAUGUCAGAAAUUACUAUCAAGUGUCCAUAUUUUAAGAUGGAACGCUGUCACUGUUUAACUGAUGCGAAAAUCACUUAUGUCAAAAGUAACUUGUUUCUAAGUGAUAUAUUAUUACAUUUUAUUUUGUUUCUUAUAGGUUGAUAUUAUUGGGUAUGAUGGAAAGUAGUUGUUUAAAGAAAAUUUUUUGUUAUUUUCAUUUUAGUGGAGAUAUUGUAAAAGAUAUGCAUAGGACAAUGUAUUAUGAUGGGGGGGAGUUGUAAUGAAAGAAUGAUUAGAGAAGGAAUGUCUUUUGAAGGACUUGUUAGAUUGAUUUCAUCAUGCUUGAAUUGUGAUUUAAAUGGAAUAGAGUUGAAGUACAUAGUAAAGUUUGAUUGCAGUGCUCUUUUAGACCUUAAAGAUGAUGAAGGGAUAAAUCAAUUAAUGAAAUUGAAUGAUAAUUUUGCUCAUGUGUACAUCAUUGGGAAGAUAUAGCAAAGUACAGAGGCAACAAGAGAUUCAAUUGAUGGAGCAAAAUGUUCAGCUGAGAAUUCACAUGCUACAUAAGAUCUUGAAGUUCUACCAUGUGCAAUACAAAGUAUCCCAACACUAAUGCUUGAGCUGAAUGCAACAAAGUGGAAAGAUUUACUAGUAGGACCUGAGCAGAUUUUUGCGAGUGCUGAUGAUUGUAGACAAGCAAUCUACAAGUAUAGUGUUGCAUUAUGCAUGUUAUCUUCGUAGUUCAUAGGAGAAAAUAUACAAUGACACUAUGCACAUAUUAAGACCCAUGAGAUGUCAAAGCCAAAUGCAUUGACAGUAUCUAAGCUCAUAAGCCAAACCUUUUUGCUACCUCCUAAAACAUCUCGAUCAGUUAGCAGACCUCGUCAUGUGAGGAUUGAGUCUCAAUAUCAGCAGAAGAAGGUUUAUCAUUGUUCUCAUUAUCAUGAAGCAGACCGUACAUGAAAGAGGUGUAAAAAUCUAAAUCCAAGUUGAUGUUAUUGUAAAUGGGUUACUACAUGAACUUGGAUUUGGGUGAUAUAUAUAUAUGGGUAGUUUUAGAUCAA